CCUCCCAAAGUGCUGGAGUAACAGGUGUGAGCCACCGCAGCUGGCCAGUCCCUCCAUUUUCAAAGCCAGAAACAGAGCAUGAACUUAAUCUCGUGUUGCAAGCUUUCUGACGUUCCCUUCUGCCACCGAUUGGUUUCUCUCCAUCAGCGGUAAAGGUAUCCUGCUAGCGUCUUCCUUUCCCCCUGUAGAGGCGGGGUCUCUGUUGAUGAGGCUAGUCUCGAACUUCUGGCCUCAAACAAUUCUCCUGCCUCGGCCUCCCAAAAGCGCUGAGAUGACAGGUUUGCUAAUAUUUUCAUGUGAGGUUCACUGCAUCAUUUUAAUUUCAGGUUUUCCUGGUGUCUUUGCGAAAGCUCAGGAUGAGACUUUGUCACUAAGGUGGCUCCCUCCUCUCAGCACAUCAAGCUUGUUUCUACCCUGGUCCCAAGAGCUCAGAGGCUGAAGCUCGAGUCCCUGCCUGAAGGUGUCUGCUUUCUGAGAACAGCAGAGAAGAACCAUGUCCCAGGAAUAUCCUUCAGACAUCAGAUCACUGUUUAUCUUUUAUUCUGCUCACGCGUGACCUCCUAGGAAACUUCACGU